UACGUAGGGUGCAAGCGUUAUCCGGAAUUAUUGGGCGUAAAGAGCUCGUAGGCGGUUUGUCGCGUCUGCUGUGAAAACCUAAGGCUCAACCUUGGGCUUGCAGUGGGUACGGGCAGACUAGAGUGCGGUAGGGGUGACUGGAAUUCCUGGUGUAGCGGUGGAAUGCGCAGAUAUCAGGAGGAACACCGAUGGCGAAGGCAGGUCACUGGGCCGCAACUGACGCUGGAGG
rnacentral:rRNA from 1 species